UGCUUAUAUUAUGUUGAAAGUCAUCUUUGGCUUACGUGCAUAGAUGGACUUGGUAUGAUUAUGACCAGGGAUUAUUCAAUAUAAUCAUGACCGUAAUGUGACGAAUGAUGUGGUAAAAGUCCUCAUUGGCUUGUAGUUCAUUGGUGGACAGUUGUUGGUAUGAUUAUGACUAGGGAUUAUUCGGUAUAGUCAUGACCAUUGAUGAUUACAUGAAUAUCGAAAUUAAAAAUGGAAGAAAUGAUGAAGGUACUAUACUGUAAUAAUUCGAGCCCCAAAACGUGCAAUUAUCGAAAUUAUGUUUUCCUAUAAAUAGAAGUUCAUUUUUCUUUCAUUCUCACCAAUUUACUAAGACUCACAAGAGCAUUUAUAAAGAGAGAAGCUAUAGAGAGAAAGAAGAAUAGUAGUCUGCUACUUCACUACUUCAUUAUCC
rnacentral:lncRNA from 1 species